rnacentral:rRNA from 1 species
AGUGAUAAUAGCAAGUGUGACCCACCUGAUUCCAUCCCGAACUCAGAAGUGAAACCACUUAGCGCCGAUGGUAGUGUGGGGUCUCCCCAUGUGAGAGUAGGACAUUGCUA